rnacentral:rRNA from 1 species
AUGCAAGUCGAGCGGGACCUUCGGGUCUAGCGGCGGACGGGUUAGUAACGCCUGUUAACGUGCCCUUCUCUAAGGAAUAGCCACUGGAAACGGCUUGUAAUACCUUAUACGCCCUUCGGGGGAAAGAUUUAUCGGAGAAGGAUCGGCCCGCGUUAGAUUAGGUAGUUGGUGGGGUAAUGGCCUACCAAGCCUACGAUCUAUAGCUGGUUUUAGAGGAUGAUCAGCAACACUGGGACUGAGACACGGCCCAGACUCCUACGGGAGGCAGCAGUGGGGAAUCUUGGACAAUGGGCGCAAGCCUGAUCCAGCCAUGCCGCGUGAGUGAUGAAGGCCUUAGGGUCGUAAAGCUCUUUCGCCAGGGAUGAUAAUGACAGUACCUGGUAAAGAAACCCCGGCUAACUCCGUGCCAGCAGCCGCGGUAAUACGGAGGGGGUUAGCGUUGUUCGGAAUUACUGGGCGUAAAGCGCGCGUAGGCGGAUCAGAAAGUUGGGGGUGAAAUCCCGGGGCUCAACCCCGGAACGGCCUCCAAAACUCCUGGUCUUGAGUUCGAGAGAGGUGAGUGGAAUUCCGAGUGUAGAGGUGAAAUUCGUAGAUAUUCGGAGGAACACCAGUGGCGAAGGCGGCUCACUGGCUCGAUACUGACGCUGAGGUGCGAAAGUGUGGGGAGCAAACAGGAUUAGAUACCCUGGUAGUCCACACCGUAAACG